CCGGUUGCCGCGCUGUGUUGUGUUCUCCGAGUACGUCGCGCUGCCGCUCUGUUUACCAUUUGCUGGACCAUCCGAAACGUGGGGGGGGGGCGAUCUGCGAGGCCACCUACUCUGCUGACGGUGCGUCCGGCGGCCGGUGCAGUGCUGACCUUGCACUGACGGCUGUGCUCGCGGGGCGCUGGGCCUUCGCCGUCGCCGUUGACAGUUGGCCUUCGGCGUUGGUGCAGGGAGGUCGUUGCUGCUUCGUGCGGGGCAGCCACGCGGUCUACACGAAGUCGUUGGUGGGGACCUUCAGGUGGGCACGCGACGCGCCGACGUCCUUCAGGGAUAUUCUGGCCAAGUUGGUCACGUUGCUGCGGUCGUACGCCGUCAGCGCCAGGGCUCCGCCGGCGAGCAGGACGACGGCGAGGGGCAGAGACGCGCGGCUUGGUGUCAUGGUGGGACGGAGCUGAGUGGAGUCCGUCUUUUUCGUCGCCCGGCUGGAGCCGUUGUUUGGAUGGAGUGCGACGUGUGCAUGCAGCACUUCGACUCGGAGGAGCGCCGCCCCAAG